GAUGAACGCUGGCGGCGUGCUUAACACAUGCAAGUCGAACGGAAAGGCCAGUGCUUGCACUGUUACUCGAUUGGCGCACGGGUGAGUAUCACGUGGGUGAUCUGCCCUUCACUUCCUGAUAAGCCUUCGGAACUGGGUCUCAUACCGCAUAUGAUAAUGUUUUGCAUGCCGUUGUGGAAAGUUUUUGCGGUUUGGGAUGAGGUCGCGGCGUAUCAGCUUUUUGUUGGGGUAUUGGCAUAGCAAGGCGUCGACGGGUAGCCGGCCUGAGAGGGUGGACGGACAGACUGGAACGGAGAGAGAGGCCAGACUAGGACGGGAGGCAGCAGGGGCGAAUACUGGACAAUGGGAGGAAGCCUGAUGGAGGAAGGUCGCGGGAGGGAUGACGGCUUUCGGGUGGGAAGAACAUAUGGGUAAGGAAGAAGCGAAUUUGUGACGGUACCUGGAGAAGAAGCAACGGCUAACUACGUG
rnacentral:rRNA from 1 species